AACCUGCACGACUUGUUCGAAG
rnacentral:misc_RNA from 1 species